ensembl:lncRNA
GUCACCGAGCAAUUAGAGGGAAACACACACACACACACACACACACACCCGCACACACAUACACACACACACACAGAGCAGAGUUAGAUCCCAAAGCACACAUUUCUCUUCAUCACUGAAAGGAUUUCGGAAGUAAAGGAGGCUCGCGCGCUUUCACACUAAAACCACUGGAUCAAAAUCUGGAGAUGUACACUGACUUUUUUUUUUUUUUUUUUUUUUUGUUGUGUGUGUGUGUGUGUGUGUGUGUGUGUGUGUGUGUGUAUCAAACUGAACAAUGUGGGAUAGGUGUGGAAAAAACCAGCACAGAUGACAUGAGAUCCACAUAAAAAACCUCUUCCUCUUCAUCAUUUAAGCCUCUGACAUACCUUAAGGCAGGAAUCCCAAAUGCACUACAUGUGCUCACUACAUAAGGGUCGUGGGAAGCCUGGAGCCUUUCCCAGGGGAUUCGGGGCACAAGACAGGGGACACGCUGGACACCCAUCGCAGGACACAUUCACACACACAUUCACAUACUACGGACCAUUUAGAGAUGCAAAUCUGCCUACAGUGUAUAUCUUUGGACUGGGGGAGGAAACUGGAGUACCCGGAGGAAACCUUUGAAGCACAGGGAGAGCAUGCUCUGUGCACACAGGGUGGAGGAGGAAUUCGAACCCCCCAUCCCUGGAGGUGCGAAGCAAAUGUGCUAACCACUAAACCACCAAAUAAUAACUCAACAAUUCUAAUGAAACUCUUAUCAGUCUUUAAGCUAAAUAACCAAACUGUAACACUAUUUAUGUGUUCAGAUAUUGCCAUUUAUCAAGAACAAAAAGAAGCAACAGCAACAAUAUUAUAUUCAGGAUGUACUUUUCUUGUACAAUUUUGUUUUAUAACACUGAUUUGUUGUUCUGUUCUAUACAGUAUGUACACUUUGUUCAUCAUUAAAUAUAUAUAUAUAUAUAUAUAUAUAUAUAUAUAUAUAUAUAUAUAUAUAUAUAUAUAUAUAUAUAUAUAUCAAUUAAAUAGGGGGCAGUGGGAGCAGAAAGAGCUCUGUUCACUCAGAGAAAGAUGAAGAAUGUGAUGGGGAAAGAGGAAGGAUGUAGAGAAUCAGGUUGCUUAAUAUAGACAAACAUUUUCAGUAUCUGUCACAGUCCCUAAAGCCUCAGUAAUGUGUACCAUGGGAUUAACACUCCUGUGUUUAUGAGCACACACACACACACACAUUAGUAAAAUCCAACAGUUCUCAUCAGUGUGUGACUGUGGACUCUCUGACCUUACUGUGAGAGUAAACAGCAGUCAUAAAGUAGCCAAACACGGCUAAAGCCAUGAACUAGUUUAUUAGACAUCCAUAUAUCCGGAGCUGCUCCCCAAUAAAGACGUCAUGGAUAGUGAUGAACUCUCAGCUAGUGGGAGGAAACAAUAGAGAGAGAGAGAGAGAGAGAGAGAUGAAUUAUAGGUGUACUAUAUAACUCAGUAUACUAUAUAUAGUGCAAAAUAAUAUUCUUUUCAGUGUUUCACACACUUCACAUUCCAGGUGCACCGCAACAUGGCUGCACUGGAAAAAGUGCAAAUCCUUCCCCACUUUUGUAUAUUGCACUGUGUUUAUUGUCUUCUUAUGUACUUUUUUUCAUUAUGUAUGUUUUUAUUCUGUUUUGAUCGUUUGUUUUGACUUGGGUCCAUACGGCAUAAGGAAACCCCAGCAUGCUCAGCACUUAGUCACUGACUUCAUGUCUCUUUAGUUAAUGUACAGUAUAAUUCAAAAGUUUGGACAUGCAUUGUAAUAGAGAGGGGUUUAUUUUCUCCCCCAUAUUUUCAGUAAUUUCUACCUUUUAAAAUAAUAGUGAAGACAUUCAUUGGAUCUGACUGGACGGAUCUGGAGUCUGUCCCGGGAACACUAGGGUACAGGGCACCAUGCAGAC